rfam:Spinacia oleracea cultivar SynViroflay scaffold1510.con0002.1, whole genome shotgun sequence.
AAAAGGCAAGAAUGAUGAUUCAAUUAGAUGUGUGAAGAAAGCAAUUUCUUGUGAACAUUAAACUUUUGAGGCAUAUUUAUAUCCUGACUUGCCC